rnacentral:rRNA from 1 species
CGGGUGAGUAACACGUAUCCAACCUGCCGUCUACUCUUGGCCAGCCUUCUGAAAGGAAGAUUAAUCCAGGAUGGCAUCAUGAGUUCACAUGUCCGCAUGAUUAAAGGUAUUUUCCGGUAGACGAUGGGGAUGCGUUCCAUUAGAUAGUAGGCGGGAUAACGGCCCACCUAGUCAACGAUGGAUAGGGGUUCUGAGAGGAAGGUCCCCCACAUUGGAACUGAGACACGGUCCAA